UACGUAGGCAGCGAGCGUUGUUCGGAGUUACUGGGCGUAAAGGGUGUGUAGGCGGUCCUCUAAGUUUGGUGUGAAAUCUCCCGGCUCAACCGGGAGGGUGCGCCGAAAACUGGGGGGCUAGAGUGCGGGAUGGGUAAGUGGAAUUCCUGGUGUAGCGGUGAAAUGCGCAGAUAUCAGGAAGAACACCCGUGGCGAAAGCGGCUCUCUGGAACGGUACUGACGCUGAGACGCGAAAGCGUGGGGAGCGAACAGG
rnacentral:rRNA from 1 species